rnacentral:rRNA from 1 species
UGGUUAAAAAGCUCGUAGUUGGAUCUCAACAGCCUUGAAGCGGUUAACUUUGUAGUUUUACUGCUUUAUAGGCUGUGCUUUUGCUGGAGGUUUAGGGGUGCUCUUGAUCGAGUGUCUCUGGAUGCCAGCAGGUUUACUUUGAAAAAAUUAGAGUGCUCAAAGCAGGCUAAAAUGCCUGAAUAUUCGUGCAUGGAAUAAUAGAAUAGGAUGUCGAUCCUAUUUUGUUGGUUUUCGGGACUCGACAUAAUGAUAAAUAGGGACAGUCGGGGGCAUUUGUAUUCAGACGACAGAGGUGAAAUUCUUGGACCGUUUGAAGACAAACUACUGCGAAAGCAUUUGCCAAGAAUGUUUUCAUUAAUCAAGAACGAAAGUUAGAGGUUCGAAGGCGAUUAGAUACCGCCCUAGUUCUAACCAUAAACGAUGCCAGCUAGCGAUCUGCCUGCGUUUUUACUGUAGACUGGGCAGGAAGCUUCCGGGAAACCAAAGCAUUUGGGUUCCAGGGGAAGUAUGGUUGCAAAGCUGAAACUUAAAGGAAUUGACGGAAGGGCACCACCAGGAGUGGAGCCUGUGGCUUAAUUUGACUCAACACGGGAAAUCUCAC